rnacentral:lncRNA from 1 species
GUAAGCGGAGCCGAACCCCUAUGAGCUUGCCCAGUAGGGAGCUCAGGAUCCCCAAGAUUGGACAGGCAAAUAAGCUUAGUGAUAGUCCCACCAGUCUUCCCGAGAGUCACGAUUUCGCUGGGGAUGCUACUUGAUCUCUCUUCAGCCUCAGUUUCCUCACCUGGACAGUGGAGCUGAACCCACCCCCCACUAUCUGACCCUGCUCUCUGGGCUGUCUUUUGGGAACCCGCCCUGCUGAGGCCUGCUCCCCACCCUCCAUGGCUGUCAGCCCCCCAGGAGAAGAAUGUCUGCCAUAUGGAGGCUGCUGGCAGCAAAGGGAGAUGAACAAGCCAAGGUUGCCCGGCCUGCAUGCCGGCCCAG